CUUAUGCGGCGGCCUACCAUGCAAGUCGAGCGGUAGAGAGAAGCUUGCUUCUCUUGAGAGCGGCGGACGGGUGAGUAAUGCCUAGGAAUCUGCCUGGUAGUGGGGGAUAACGUCCGGAAACGGACGCUAAUACCGCAUACGUCCUACGGGAGAAAGCAGGGGACCUUCGGGCCUUGCGCUAUCAGAUGAGCCUAGGUCGGAUUAGCUAGUUGGUGAGGUAAUGGCUCACCAAGGCGACGAUCCGUAACUGGUCUGAGAGGAUGAUCAGUCACACUGGAACUGAGACACGGUCCAGACUCCUACGGGAGGCAGCAGUGGGGAAUAUUGGACAAUGGGCGAAAGCCUGAUCCAGCCAUGCCGCGUGUGUGAAGAAGGUCUUCGGAUUGUAAAGCACUUUAAGUUGGGAGGAAGGGCAGUUGCCUAAUACGUAACUGUKYUGACGUUACCGACAGAAWUAAAGCACCGGGCUAACUCUGUGCCAGCAGCCGCGGUAAUACAGAGGGUGCAAGCGUUAAUCGGAAUUACUGGGCGUAAAGCGCGCGUAGGUGGUUUGUUAAGUUGGAUGUGAAAUCCCCGGGCUCAACCUGGGAACUGCAUUCAAAACUGACUGACUAGAGUAUGGUAGAGGGUGGUGGAAUUUCCUGUGUAGCGGUGAAAUGCGUAGAUAUAGGAAGGAACACCAGUGGCGAAGGCGACCACCUGGACUGAUACUGACACUGAGGUGCGAAAGCGUGGGGAGCAAACAGGAUUAGAUACCCUGGUAGUCCACGCCGUAAACGAUGUCAACUAGCCGUUGGAAGCCUUGAGCUUUUAGUGGCGCAGCUAACGCAUUAAGUUGACCGCCUGGGGAGUACGGCCGCAAGGUUAAAACUCAAAUGAAUUGACGGGGGCCCGCACAAGCGGUGGAGCAUGUGGUUUAWUUCGAAGCAACGCGARRMMYCUUACCAGGCCUUGACAUCC
rnacentral:rRNA from 1 species